rnacentral:rRNA from 1 species
GUGGGGAAUAUUGGACAAUGGGCGAAAGCCUGAUCCAGCCAUGCCGCGUGUGUGAAGAAGGUCUUCGGAUUGUAAAGCACUUUAAGUUGGGAGGAAGGGUAGUAACCUAAUACGUUGCUACUUUGACGUUACCGACAGAAUAAGCACCGGCUAACUUCGUGCCAGCAGCCGCGGUAAUACGAAGGGUGCAAGCGUUAAUCGGAAUUACUGGGCGUAAAGCGAGCGUAGGUGGUUCAGUAAGUUGGAAGUGAAAUCCCCGGGCUCAACCUGGGAACUGCUUUCAAAACUGCUGAGCUAGAGUACGGUAGAGGGUGGUGGAAUUUCCUGUGUGGCGGUGAAAUGCGUAGAUAUAGGAAGGAACACCAGUGGCGAAGGCGACCACCUGGACUGAUACUGACACUGAGGUGCGAAAGCGUGGGGAGCAAACAGGAUUAGAAACCCUUGUAGUCC